AUCGGGGUUGCGGACAGUGCCUGGUGGGUAGUUUGACUGGGGCGGUCUCCUCCCAAAGAGUAACGGAGGAGCACGAAGGUGGGCUAAUCACGGUUGGACAUCGUGAGGUUAGUGCAAUGGCAUAAGCCCGCUUGACUGCGAGAAUGACAAUUCGAGCAGGUGCGAAAGCAGGUCAUAGUGAUCCGGUGGUUCUGAAUGGAAGGGCCAUCGCUCAACGGAUAAAAGGUACUCCGGGGAUAACAGGCUGAUACCGCCCAAGAGUUCAUAUCGACGGCGGUGUUUGGCACCUCGAUGUCGGCUCAUCACAUCCUGGGGCUGAAGUCGGUCCCAAGGGUAUGGCUGUUCGCCAUUUAAAGUGGUACGCGAGCUGGGUUUAGAACGUCGUGAGACAGUUCGGUCCCUAUCUGCCGUGGGCGUUGGAAGAUUGAAGGGGGCUGCUCCUAGUACGAGAGGACCGGAGUGGACGAACCUCUGGUGUUCGGGUUGUGUCGCCAGACGCAUUGCCCGGUAGCUAAGUUCGGAAUCGAUAACCGCUGAAAGCAUCUAAGCGGGAAGCGAGCCCUGAGAUGAGUCUUCCCUGAUACUUUAAGUAUCCUAAAGGGUUGUUCGAGACUAGAACGUUGAUAGGCAGGGUGUGUAAGCGUUGUGAGGCGUUGAGCUAACCUGUACUAAUUGCCCGUGAGGCUUAACCAUACAACACCCAAGGGGUUU
rnacentral:rRNA from 1 species